rnacentral:rRNA from 1 species
UAUGGUAAUUGUGUGCCAGCCUCCGCUUUACUACGUAGGUGGCAAGCGUUGUCCGGAAUUAUUGGGCGUAAAGCGCGCGCAGGCGGCUUUCUAAGUCCAUCUUAAAAGUGCGGGGCUUAACCCCGUGAUGGGAUGGAAACUGGAAAGCUGGAGUAUCGGAGAGGAAAGUGGAAUUCCUAGUGUAGCGGUGAAAUGCGUAGAGAUUAGGAAGAACACCGGUGGCGAAGGCGACUUUCUGGACGACAACUGACGCUGAGGCGCGAAAGCGUGGGGAGCAAACAGG